rnacentral:rRNA from 1 species
AAAGGUAAGCUACUAAGAGCGAAUGGUGGAUGCCUUGACUGGUAGAGGCGAUGAAGGACGUACUAGACUGCGAUAAGCUAGGUGGAGCUGUCAAGAAGCUUUGAUGCCUAGAUUUCCGAAUGGGGCAACCCAGUAUAUAGAGAUAUAUACUACCAUAAUGGAGCGAACGAGGGGAAUUGAAACAUCUUAGUACCCUCAGGAAAAGAAAUCAAACGAGAUUGCGUCAGUAGCGGCGAGCGAAAGCGUAAGAGGGCAAACCCAGUGCUUGCACUGGGGGUUG